rnacentral:rRNA from 1 species
UGCGUAGGCGGGAAGGCAAGUUGAAUGUGAAAUACCGGGGCUCAACUCCGGGGCUGCGUUCAAAACUACUUUUCUUGAGUACAGCAGAGGCAAGCGGAAUUCCCAGUGUAGCGGUAAUAUGCGUAGAUAUUGGGAGGAACACCGGUGGCGAAGGCGGCUUGCUGGGCUGCAACUGACGCUGAAGCACGAAAGUGUGGGGAGCAAACAGGAUUAGAUACCCUGGUAGUCCACACUGUAAACGAUGAUUACUAGGUGUGGGGAGAUUGACCCUCUCCGUGCCGCAGUUAACACAAUAAGUAAUCCACCUGAGUAGUACGGCCGCAAGGUUGAA